rnacentral:rRNA from 1 species
GACGAACGCUGGCGGCGUGCUUAACACAUGCAAGUCGAACGGAAAGGCCCUGCUUUUGUGGGGUGCUCGAGUGGCGAACGGGUGAGUAACACGUGAGUAACCUGCCCUUGACUUUGGGAUAACUUCAGGAAACUGGGGCUAAUACCGGAUAGGAGCUCCUGCUGCAUGGUGGGGGUUAGAAAGUUUCGGCGGUUGGGGAUGGACUCGCGGCUUAUCAGCUUGUUGGUGGGGUAGUGGCUUACCAAGGCUUUGACGGGUAGCCGGCCUGAGAGGGUGACCGGCCACAUUGGGACUGAGAUACGGACCAGACUCCUACGGGGGGCAGCAGUGGGGAAUAUUGCACAAUGGGCGGAAGCCUGAUGCAGCAACGCCGCGUGCGGGAUGACGGCCUUCGGGUUGUAAACCGCUUUCGCCUGUGACGAAGCGUGAGUGACGGUAAUGGGUAAAGAAGCACCGGCUAACUACGUG